AUAUUAGUAAUUUAAUAAAAAUAUUAAUCUUGUAAAUUAACUAUGAGAAUAUUUUAAACAUUUCUCCUAAUAUA
rnacentral:tRNA from 1 species